UUUAAUAUAAAGUUUGCUUUGAAAGCUUGUUCAAAUUUUAGUAUUUAUGCUAAUAAAUUUUAGUCAGAAUUCUCCUCCUCAAAGUGGACUUAGAACGCCUUGAUUUUCGCAGCUUAGAUAUUUUGAUAUAGCUGUUUCCUAAGUGCACGGAAAAAGUUGAGCAAACUAAGUAGCAAACCAGGCGAAAAAGUUUCAAAGAAGGCCCGAAUGGCAGAGGUAUAGGGGCGUUACAAGCAUAAGUAGCUUACCUGGAGAUUCUUAAACUGGUGCGUGGAGCAGAGGCGCAGAAUGAUGCGGUUCAAACGGAACCAGAACGAAAUACUGGGGCUCACCGGACCAUUUCCUGCUCCGACUCCUCCGCCUCCGGGAUUCAGAUUGUUGGCCUCCACAUUGCCGGCAUCUCCUGGAAGCAAAGCACAGGAAGCGGAUUCAAUUUGUGGAUUCAAACGUUUCCAGGACCUCAAAUGAAUUCAUUUUCGGCCUUGCUCCGCCGCAUACACAAAAGCCAAAUUAAUUAAUACUUCAACCAAGUUAACUCCCCAACUUGGCUUGGUAGUUGGGCCUAGUCAUGGCCUGGCCUGGCUGAGCUGCAAUUAGCUUGGCUGAACUGCAAAAUGAUUACAAAUUGCUGCCCAAAUUUGCAAGUGCAAUUGCCAACUCCGCCAGCCAUCCCAAAUAAUUACAUAUUCUGCUGAUUUACACUUGGCCGGGCAGGCAUUACAUACAAAUGUGGAAUGCUCCGGAACAGAUGGGAUUUAUGGAGCUCACCUACUCACUGGGGGAAUAUUAAUGCUAAAUAGUCAUUCAAUAUGCGAGUGGACAUGCAAAUGUCGUGUUCAAUGAAGCCAUUGAUGGUUUUUAAAUAGGUUGUUUACACAAUUCAGUGGCAGAUUAUAAAUCAAAGUACAUGUUUUUAGAGCCUACAGAGUGUAAACUACAAACAGAUGAAUUGACAACGAAGGUAAGGAUUAAUUAUUACAUGCUUAUUACUGUUUAUAUUAUAAUAUUCAUAGUAAUCUCUGUUUUUCUGUGAAAUCAAAUGAUUAAUUAAAAGCUUAAGUACA